AAAAGCUGUCAUCAAUCCACAAGUUCUCUUCCUCUUUUGUAAAAACUCUGUGGAAACUUCAAUUUCAUUCGCACAGACAGGUUGUCACUGAGACUGACUCAAAAAUCGUUACGCUUUCAACCAUCGGCCUGAGCACAAUGGCAUAUUUUCUGGAUCCCUAGAGUGUAGCAUUACUGGCACGAAGGAAAAUUUUAACCUUCGUCUCUAUGGUAUAAGAACGUUGAAUGUAUGUACUAUGUAAGAUGCUGUUAGUUUAAGCUUUCAUAAUUUGAAUUUAUUUUCUGUCAUGUUCACAUUGUUUUGUUUUGUUUUAGUGUUUUUCGAGCCGGUGGGCAAUAUAUUUGGGCUGUUUUUGGGCUGUGGUUUCAAGGUAUAGAGAGAAAAAAGUAAGUUUUAUUCAAAAAGAUUGUUGGGCUCGAUGCAUACAUCUGUCCAUUUCUUUUCACUCUUUAGUUUCUCUUCUGCAGAAACUGUUAUCAAUCUUCAGGUUCUCUUCCUCUUUUAUUAAUCUUCUGCAGACUACUCGCACAUAAGAGUUGUCACUAAGACUUUCUAAAGAAUCAUAACGCUACCAACCAUUGACCUCUUAUAUCUUAAAAAUGGGUAAGAAUCUCUUAGCUUUCUUCACUACUUUCUUUGCAUGCACUUUUAAACGUGGGGUUUAAACAUACAAACAAGAACCCUGAUAAUGUUUAGUAUGCUAUUGAAAGAUCCAACUGGAUGUAGAAGAAGCGCUGAAUCAAAGAAGUUCAUUCGGCAAAACUUACAGAACAUAUGAAUUUAGAAAUAAAUGUGAAGAUUGCAUUUUCUAGAGUAUUUUAAAACUAUAUGAUUUGAUAUGUGAUCAUCUUGUGGCUCUGGUUAUUUGACAUUGUUCUACCUCUAUUGCAACUUUAAGUAUUAUGUUUAAA